rnacentral:rRNA from 1 species
CGUUCCCGGGUCUUGUACACACCGCCCGUCACACCACGAAAGUCAGCAACACCCGAAGCCGGUGGCCUAACCCUUACGGGAAGGAGCCGUCGAAGGUGGGGCUGGUGAUUGGGGUG